GGGAGAUUGGCAACAGUUGUUAGCUCAGGUGCCAAUCUUUAAAAAAAAUAUAUAAGUAAACAUGGUUUCAUUUUUGUAUCUUACAGAAAUAAUUUUACAAACUAGAAACAAAGAUGUCCUUUAUUGGACCAUGUGCCUUGGCUUCUGCUUCAGACACUCAUCUCUUCAACAGUAGCAUCAACACUCGUCUGGGAGACACACAGCUGUCUGUGCCCUGGAGAAGCCCCUCCAGUGAAGUCCACAGGUGGUCCUGAAGCCUGCCACACCCUUGCUCCUCCCUCGCACGUUCUCUGAGCCAGACCCCUGGAUCCCACGAUGGAAAAGAAUCAGGGAGAUUAGCCCUGAGCUAACUGCUGCCAAUCCUCCUCUUUUUGCUGAGAAAGACUAGCCCUGAGCUAACAUCCGUGCCCAUCUUCCUCUACUUUAUAUGUGGGAUGCCUAGCACAGCAUGGCUUUCACCAAGCGGUGAAACCAAGCCAUGUCUGCACCUAGAAUCUGAACCGGCCAACCCUGGGCGGCCAAGAAGCGGAAUGUGCAAACUUAACUGCUGUGCCACUGGGCCGGCCCCGUCUUUAAUCCAUUUUGAGUUUAUUUUUGUAUAUAUGAUCCAGCAUUACCAUUUCUGGAUAUUUAUUCAAAGAAAAUGAAAACACUAAUUUGAAAAGAAUCUGCACCAUUGUGUUCAUUGCAG
rnacentral:lncRNA from 1 species